rnacentral:rRNA from 1 species
GAUGAACGCUGGCGGCGUGCCUAAUACAUGCAAGUCGAGCGAACAGACGAGGAGCUUGCUCCUCUGACGUUAGCGGCGGACGGGUGAGUAACACGUGGAUCACCUACCUAUCAGACUGGUAUCACUUCGGGAAACCGGCGCUAAUCCCGGAGAAUAUAUUGAACCGCAUGGUUCAAUAGUGAAAGACGGUUUUGCUGUCUCUUAUAGAUGGAUCUCGGCCGCAUUAGAUGGUUGGUAAGGUAACGGCUUACGAAGGCAAGGAUGCGUAGCCGAACGGAGAGAGUGGUCGGCCACCCGAGAACGGAGACACGGUCCAGAGUCCUACGGGAGGGACCAGUAGGGAAUCGGCCGCAAUGGGCGAAAGCCUGACGGAGCAACGCGGCGUGAGUGAUGAAGGUCUUCGGAGCGGAAAACUGUGUUAUUAGGGAAGAACAAAUUUGGAAGUAGCUAUGCACGUCUUGACGGUACCUAAUCAGAAAGCCACGGCUAACUACGUG